rnacentral:lncRNA from 1 species
UGGCCUAUCCGUAACAGGCAAGUCUCAUGGGCAUUGUAGAGUGUGGUGUCCUGUAAGAAUUAUUGGUUGAUCGUGCAGCACAAGUGUAGCUGCUAGAAUAUUGGUCAGAGCAUGUGCCUUGGACGAGAUGUCGACUUUCAAAUGCUUGGCUAAGGCUACACAGUUGAUGAUGGUAAGUACACGGCUAGGUUAAGAGAAUGAAAGCAAGUAUGAUGAUUUAGAGAUGAUUGAAGAGAAU